rnacentral:RNase_P_RNA from 1 species
UGAGAUGGCCAGACAAUCGCGCUUUUAGUUUGACUUUAAGUGAGGAAAGUCCGGGCUCCAAUGGGCAGGGUGCCAGAUAACUUCUGGGAGGCGUGAGCCUACGGCAAGUGCCACAGAAAAUAUACCGCCUGAUUCUCAGUAAUCAGGUAAGGGUGAAAUGGUGCGGUAAGAGCGCACCGCGCGACUGGUAACAGUCGUGGCAGGGUAAACCCCACCUGGAGCAAGACCAAAUAGAGGAGCAGUUUGCUUGCAAACACGUGUGGUCCGCACGGUUCCUGGGUAGGUUGCUUGAGGCAAACGGUGACGUUUGUCCCAGAUGAAUGAUUGUUCUCGACAGAACCCGGCUUAUCGGCCAUCUCACUUU